CGUAGGUGGCAAGCGUUGUCCGGAUUUAUUGGGUUUAAAGGGUGCGUAGGCGGCCCUGUAAGUCAGUGCUGAAAUAUCCCGGCUUAACCGGGAGGGUGGCAUUGAUACUGCAGGGCUUGAGUAAAGUUGAGGUUGGCGGAAUUGACGGUGUAGCGGUGAAAUGCUUAGAUAUCGUCAAGAACACCGAUAGUGUAGACAGCUAACUAAGCUUUAACUGACGCUGAGGCACGAAAGUGUGGGGAUCAAACAGGAUUAGAUACCCUGGUAGUCCACACUGUAAACGUUGAUGACUCGCUGUUGGCGAUAUACAGUCAGCGGCUUAGAGAAAUCGUUAAGUCAUCCACCCGGGGAGUACGCCGGCAACGGUG
rnacentral:rRNA from 1 species